GAUGAACGCUGGCGGCGUGCCUAAUACAUGCAAGUCGAGCGAACAGACGAGGAGCUUGCUCCUCUGACGUUAGCGGCGGACGGGUGAGUAACACGUGGAUAACCUACCUAUAAGACUGGGAUAACUUCGGGAAACCGGAGCUAAUACCGGAUAAUAUAUUGAACCGCAUGGUUCAAUAGUGAAAGACGGUUUUGCUGUCACUUAUAGAUGGAUCCGCGCCGCAUUAGCUAGUUGGUAAGGUAACGGCUUACCAAGGCGACGAUGCGUAGCCGACCUGAGAGGGUGAUCGGCCACACUGGAACUGAGACACGGUCCAGACUCCUACGGGAGGCAGCAGUAGGGAAGCUUCCGCAAUGGGCGAAAGCCUGACGGAGCAACGCCGCGUGAGUGAUGAAGGUCUUCGGAUCGUAAAACUCUGUUAUUAGGGAAGAACAAAUGUGUAAGUAACUAUGCACGUCUUGACGGUACCUAAUCAGAAAGCCACGGCUAACUACGU
rnacentral:rRNA from 1 species